rnacentral:rRNA from 1 species
UACGUAGGGGGCGAGCGUUGUCCGGAUUUAUUGGGCGUAAAGCGCGCGCAGGCGGUUCAUUAAGUCUGGUGUGAAAGCUCCCGGCUCACCUGGGAGAGGGCACUGGAGACUGGUGGACUGGAGCGAGGCAGAGGCCGGUGGAAUUCCCGGUGUAGUGGUGAAAUGCGUAGAGAUCGGGAGGAACACCAGUGGCGAAGGCGGCCGGCUGGGCCUUGACUGACGCUGAGGCGCGACAGCGUGGGGAGCGAACCGG